GGAAGUAAAAGCGUAACAAGGUUUCCGUAGGUGAACCUGCGGAAGGAUCAUUCAUAAUAAAGUGUUUUAUGGCACUUUUUAAAAAUCCAUAUCCACCUUGUGUGCAAUGUUAGAUCUCGUCAAUCUUGGCGAGAUUUUUAUACAUCAACUCAUUCUUUAACUAAUUUGUCUGAAAAAUAUUAUGAAUACUUAAUUCAAAAUACAACUUUCAACAACGGAUCUCUUGGCUCUC
rnacentral:misc_RNA from 1 species